UAGGGAAUAUUGCACAAUGGGGGAAACCCUGAUGCAGCAACGCCGCGUGAGUGAAGAAGGCCCUUGGGUUGUAAAGCUCUUUAGCGAGGGAAGAAGGUAGAUAUGGUGAAUAAUCAUGUUUGCUGACGGUACCUCGAGAAUAAGCACCGGCUAAUUUCGUGCCAGCAGCCGCGGUAAUACGAAAGGUGCAAGCGUUACUCGGAAUCACUGGGCGUAAAGCGCACGUAGGCGGACUCGUAGGUCAAUUGUGAAAUACCUGGGCUCAACCCGGGAACUGCAGUUGAAACCGCUUGUCUUGAAUACCUGAGAGGGUGGGGGAAUACCUGGUGGAGAAGUGAAAUUCGUAGAGAUCAGGUGGAACACCGGAGGCGAAGGCGCCUGCCUGGCAGUGUAUUGACGCUGAGGUGCGAAAGUGCGGGGAGCAAACAGG
rnacentral:rRNA from 1 species